UACGUAGGGGGCAAGCGUUGUCCGGAAUCAUUGGGCGUAAAGCGCGUGUAGGCGGCUCGGUAAGUCUGCUGUGAAAGUCCAGGGCUCAACCCUGGGAUGCCGGUGGAUACUGUCGAGCUCGAGUCCGGAAGAGGCGAGUGGAAUUCCGUGGUGUAGCGGUGAAAUGCGCAGAUAUCAGGAGGAACACCAAUGGCGAAGGCAGCUCGCUGGGACGUGACUGACGCUGAGACGCGAAAGCGUGGGGAGCAAACAGG
rnacentral:rRNA from 1 species